CAGAUGCUUCCUCCUGGCCAAAUCCCAAAUCCCACCCUCAGCACCCACACCCUGAGCAGUGGGCAGGAGAGGCCUGAAAACGUCUGUACAAAUGGCUUCCGAGAAGCCCUGGAGAUAAAGGAGCCAGAGGCAGCCACACAUGGUUCCCAGAAGCUGAAUGCUGCGCAGACGACAGGAAUGACUUCACCCAUCCUGCUUCCACCCGCCAUAGCAGUGACCAAAGCAGCACUGGGACCACAGCUGAGCACCUCAGAAGAUAAGUCCUGGGGUGAUUCUUGUCAUCUCCGUGAAAAGGAGAAGACAAAAAGGCAGAGGCUGCUGCUUGAGGAUCCCUUCACCUGGGCUGCAUAGCUCACCCAUGCUGACCAACUUCCCCAUUUCAAGCUUCAGACUCACAGCCGCGCUAGUUAGGGUACCACUUGUUCAGACAGCUGUUUUCAUUCACAUCUCCAAAGGUCCUCUACCUUAGAAGAAGAAAGAAAGAGGGAAAGAGAAAUAAAAGAGAUUAAUUAAAAAAAAAAAAAAAAA
rnacentral:lncRNA from 1 species